rnacentral:tRNA from 6 species
GGGGUGGUAGCUCAGUUUGGUUAGAGCGUCUCCCUGUCACGGAGAAGGUCGCGGGUUCGAGUCCCGUCCAUCCCGCCA